ensembl:lncRNA
AUGCAGAGCGCGAGAGAGCCCACUCCAUUUAGAAAGUGGAGACAAUUAAAGAAUAAACAAAUGAAAAGGAGUAAACAACACUUGUCUAUGAUGCCAAAGACAUGGAGUAAACUACGAUGUAAACCAGGGAUCAUUAGAAUAACUGCAUGUCUCUCCCAACAGGACAACAUGGGACAAGUCCAAGACAAACUGGAAGGGGUUGAAGGAUUAGAAGAAGCAUUGCCUGGAGCUGAAGGCCUGCCUACAGAGGCUGGCGGUGCGGUGGGAGGAAGAGGAGGCACGAGGGAGAAGGAGGUUUGCAGCACAAGACAAUAUUCAGGUAGAGCCAGCCUCCGGGGUUCGGACCAAAGCUCAGAGGAGGAGCCACCUGCACCUUCUAUUGAGCAAAAUGUACACUCCAGGAAACAUUGGGUGAGUCCUUUCAGUGCAUGCAAAUGGAGAGAGGGAGGAGACAACCAAGAAAGGGGAGGAGGAGAGGAGGGCGAAGUAAAGAAAGAGGGAGGCAGCACUUUUCCCUCUGUAACCCAGGAGUCGGACUGGAGCCAGAUGCCAAGGAGUAGGGCGAGGAGUGAGGAGCAGAGGCCCAGAAAGAACCGUCAGUUCAAUCAGUUCUAUCAAACCAAGAGCGGGGGAAUGAACGAGGAGGAGCCUAACACCGAGUCACAGAGAAAGAAGAUGGAAACAUCGUUAUUACAUGACGUGAACUGUGAUGGAGAAACUGUGGAAGAUCAUUGUGUAGAUGGAAGCUCUGAGUCCAAGAUCAGAAAAGGUGGGUUUUGCAAAGGAACUGAGAAUGUGGGUCAUAAAGCAGGGAAGAAGAGGUUGUUGCUGUUGGACCCCCAAGGUCAGAAUGAGACCCCAAGAGGAGAUGAGCAGCAUGAAGAACAUGGUAUCAAAGACAAUGAGCAGGAUUUCGCUCCCAUUGAUCAUGAAGAGGGGGAGACAUACCUAGCCAGAGCGUCGUAUUCAGGGGCCAGUCCGGCUCUGCCGCGCAGUGAGCCCGGCUCCAUCCUCGAGAAGCUGCUGAGUCGGAGCAGAAAGGAAGCGGCUCCGGGACUCUCCAAGAUCAAAGAAGUUGACUUAUUAGAAGAGAACAGCGUAGAGGCUCUCAACCAGACCAAUGUUUCAGAAGCCAUCAAGUUCAACAAUGCGGAACACAACGUCAAAAUAAAAGAUGUUGUAGUCCAAGGGGAAGUCGAGAUGAGAUCAAGCCUGGAUGUCCAAUGGGAUAGGACCUCACCAGAGGACAUUGAGCCAGGGGCUCCUGAGGGAAGCAGACCACAGGUAGUGGCUGGUGAUCUAGUAUUAAAAUCUCCACCUUUUUCUGAGUUGACCUCUAAGUCUUCAGAGGAACAGCAUGGUGGGCACAUGGUUGGCACCCAUAAGACACAUAAUACUCAUACCACUGGGCUUGACAUCGGAACAGGCCAGUAUCCCAAUGAUAACCCCACUUCUGAUGCCAUUAACGCGCAUAUGUCAGAUAAAGGUGGGGUUAGGAUGAGGCUGAAGAGUGAGAAUCAACAGACACCACACGAUGAAACUAAACAUGCUGCAAUGUCUGCCAGAGACGGUGAUGAUAGUGCUGUUGAGAGUGAUCGAUCUCAGGCUACUCCCAAAUCUAGGCCUGUUUCUGAACUCAUAAAGGAAACAAAUCAACUGCAUGAGAAAUUACAUCAUGAUCGGCCCAAGUCGGCUGAAACCAAGCCAGACGUGGCCUUGGAGCAAGCCUACUCUGUAAAGGUUGCCCAGAUGAAAGCAGCGUUCGACAUCGCUCAGAAAUCCCCUGAUAGAGGACUGGAGAGGAAGCCGUCUGUUCGGAAAGGUAAGAAAGACCAUUAUAAGACAAGUUGUAGUAAGAUACAUAUGAUAGAGUUUAGUUGUGAGAAUAAAAGAGCUGGGGAUGCUUUGUUCUAUUAA